GGGGCGGCCAGACCUAAUUUCACUCUCUAGAGAGGAUCUUUUGGAUGCUUAGGCUCUUUUUCAUCUUUUCUAGGGUUUGCUUUUUCAUUCUUCAUCCAUUUUUCAUCUAGUUUCACCAUGUCAAUGGUGAACUAAACCCUAUUGUUGUUGGGGGAAACAAUGUAAUCUUUUGAUACUCUCUUUUAUUGAAACUCUUGUUUAUUUAUAUGGUUUCCAUAUGCUUUGAUUGUUAAUUGUUGGGUUCUCAUCUGUGCUUAAUGCUUUUAUCGUUUAACUCAUUCGAUAACUGUUGUUUGUCUUUAUUGAUACGGGGACGUACAAUAAUGUCAUGAACUGGUGAGUAAUUCCUUGAUUAAGCAAUACCACCUAGGGAUAGGGGUAGGACGAUCAAUUGCUUUUAACUUCUGCUCUAUAAUGCUUUAUUAAUUGCUAGGGGAGGCUAGGGAUAACAAACCAGUAAUUAGUAAUAGGCUCUUUUCACCGAGAGAUUGGGUUAAGGGUAGGUUAAGAAAGUUGCAUGACAAUUAAUCAAUCAAACUAAUAAUUCAAGAGGAGUAAAUAAGAGAGAGCGGAUAAGAUGAAAUUGUAAACCCCCAACAACUUCAUUCAUCCAUUGUUUUCUUCUUGCCAAUUGAAUCAAUCUCUUUUGCAUGUUCAUAUUUUAUUCUUAAACUCAACUAAUUAAUUUUUCUUUUCAAGUCUUACGAUUUUAAUUCACGCGAACGAUAAGGCCUUUCGAGUCUCUUGGGAAAACGAUACUUGGACUUACCAUUUAUUAUUACUU
rnacentral:lncRNA from 1 species